CUGGGGGGGCAAGUCUGGUGCCAGCAGCCGCGGUAAUUCCAGCUCCAAUAGCGUAUAUUAAAGUUGUUGCAGUUAAAAAGCUCGUAGUUGAAUUUCGAGAUCGGCUUACUGGUCGUGCUUUUGUACGUACUGGUAUAAUCGGUUUCUCCUUUCUGACGAACUUUAAUGCCAUUAAUUUGGUGUUUUAGGGAAUCAGGACUGUUACUUUGAAAAAAUUAGAGUGUUUAAAGCAGGCUCACGCUUGAAUACAUUAGCAUGGAAUAACGGAAUAGGACGUUUGAUUCUAUUUUGUUGGUUUCUAGGAUCGACGUAAUGAUUAAUAGGGAUAGUUGGGGGCAUUAGUAUUCAAUUGUCAGAGGUGAAAUUCUUGGAUUUAUUGAAGACUAACUACUGCGAAAGCAUUUGCCAAGGAUGUUUUCAUUAAUCAAGAACGAAAGUUAGGGGAUCGAAGACGAUCAGAUACCGUCGUAGUCUUAACCAUAAACUAUGCCGACUAGGGAUCGGAUGAUGU
rnacentral:rRNA from 1 species